rnacentral:rRNA from 1 species
GACGAACGCUGGCGGCGUGCUUAACACAUGCAAGUCGAACGUGUGGCGAACGGGUGAGUAAUACGCGAGUAACCUGCCCUCUUUUUGGGAUAAGCCUUUGAAACGGGGUCUAAUACCGGAAAAAGGGGAAUGGGAUUGCGGCCUAUCAGCUUGUUGGUGGGGUGAUGGCAUACCAAGGCGGUGACGGGUAGCCGGCAUGAGCGGGUGACCGGCCACGUUAGGACUGAGAGACGGCCCGGAGUGCUACGGGAGGCAGAAGUGGGGGGUAUUACGCAAUGGGCGCGAGCCUGAUGCAACAACGCCGCGUGGGGGAUGAGGGCUUUCGGGUUGUAAACCUCUUACGCUAUCGAACGGGUAGGUGGAGAAGAAGCGCCGGCUAACUACGUGCCAGCAGCCGCGGUAAUAC